rnacentral:rRNA from 1 species
UACGUAGGGUGCGAGCGUUGUCCGGAAUUAUUGGGCGUAAAGGGCUCGUAGGCGGUUCGUCGCGUCGGGAGUGAAAACUCGGAGCUCAACUCCGAGCCUGCUUCCGAUACGGGCAGACUAGAGGUAGGCAGGGGAGAGCGGAACUCCUGGUGUAGCGGUGGAAUGCGCAGAUAUCAGGAAGAACACCUAUAGCGAAGGCAGCUUGCUGGGACGUUACUGACGCUAAGGCGCGAAAGCGUGGGGAGCGAACAGG